UACGUAGGGUGCAAGCGUUGUCCGGAAUUAUUGGGCGUAAAGAGCUCGUAGGCGGUUUGUUGCGUCGGCUGUGAAAUCCCGAGGCUCAACCUCGGGUCUGCAGUCGAUACGAGCAAACUAGAGUGUUGCAGGGGAGACUGGAAUUCCUGGUGUAGCGGUGAAAUGCGCAGAUAUCAGGGAGGAACACCCGGUGGCGAAAGGCGGGUCUCUGG
rnacentral:rRNA from 1 species